GAUGAACGCUGGCGGCGUGCUUAACACAUGCAAGUCGAACGGAAAGGCUCCUGCUUGCAGGGGUACUCGAGUGGCGAACGGGUGAGUAACACGUGGGUGAUCUGCCCUGCACUUCGGGAUAAGCCUGGGAAACUGGGUCUAAUACCGGAUAGGACGAUGGUUUGGAUGCCAUUGUGGAAAGUUUUUUCGGUGUGGGAUGAGCUCGCGGCCUAUCAGCUUGUUGGUGGGGUAAUGGCCUACCAAGGCGUCGACGGGUAGCCGGCCUGAGAGGGUGUACGGCCCACUUGGGGACGGAGUAACGCCCCAGCCCCCGAGGGGGGGAGGAGGGGGGAAAUUUGGAACAAGGGGCGCAGGCCUGAGGCAGCGCCGCCGGGGGGGGGAGGGCGGCCUUCGGUUGAAAACCUCUUUCCGCAGGGAAGAAAGCCAAGGGGAGGGUACCUGGAAAAAAAACCCCGGCUACCUACGUC
rnacentral:rRNA from 1 species